rnacentral:rRNA from 1 species
AGAGUUUGAUCCUGGCUCAGGACGAACGCUGGCGGCGUGCCUAAUACAUGCAAGUCGAGCGGAGCUGAUGAGGUGCUUGCACCUCUGAUGCUUAGCGGCGGACGGGUGAGUAACACGUAGGCAACCUGCCCACAAGAUCGGGAUAACAUUCGGAAACGAAUGCUAAGACCGGAUAGACAAGUUUGCUGCAUGGUGAGCUU